GCUGUGAUGUCCGAGUGGUUAAGGAGUUGGUCUUGAAAUCCAAUGGGGUUUCCCCGCAUAGGUUCGAACCCUACUGGCAGCG